GCGGAGGGCCGGAUGGCCGCUGCGGCGGGAGGGCCCGGCGCAGAGGAAAGUCCGGACUCCCUGAAGCAACGGUGCCGGGUAACGCCCGGGCGGGGCAACCCGACGGAAAGCGCCACAGAGAUCAGACCGCCCCGCGUUCGCGGGGUGAGGGUGAAACGGUGGGGUAAGAGCCCACCGCGCCGCUGGCAACAGCGGUGGCACGGCAAGCCCCACCGGGAGCAAUGCCAAAUAGGACCCCCGCGCGGGCCGGUCCCCGCGAGGGGAAACCGCCGCUAGGCCCGCUUCAGCCGAGAGGGGUCGGGUUGGCAGCAGGAGGCGCCGGGCGACCGGCGUCCCAGAGGAAUGGCCGUCGACGGGGCCUCGGCCCCCGAACAGAAUCCGGCUUACAGGCCCUCCGCGCGU
rnacentral:RNase_P_RNA from 1 species